GGGCGGAGGUGGUCGCUCGGGGAGAAGAGAGGGAACGAGGCUAGACCACCUCGGCGGCGGGGGUUGGAGAGAGAGGCUGAUGCUAGGCGGCGGCGGAGGUUGACGAGGGUGGGGUGAGGAGAAGGGGAGGAGGAACCCAUCGGGUCAGCAGUAGCGCUGGCUCCUGGUCUCUGCGCACGCCCUUCGAGUUCCGCCUCCUCCUCGUCGCCACCGCCGCCGCCGCUCAGUCCCGCUCCGGUCGUGGCUCCUGGUCUAGAGCGAGGACGGCGGAGGGCCCCUACGGGCGCGCCCGGAAGCCGCCUCGAUCCGGGGCGCGAGGAUAAGCAACCGCGGACGCGAACCCUCUUAGCUCCCGUCCAACACGCGCCGGGAGCAGUCGGCGUAGACGAUUCCACCACCGGCCCGGCCGCCGCCUCCACCGCCGGGCCGACACUCCCCUCCAGUGCACCACUCCUGGCUACCUAGGUGGCCUCUCCUGCCCGCACCGAGUAUGUUCCCCCCUCCGAGAAUGUCGCCCUCCUGGCCGCUCCCACCCGUACCGAGUAUGGUCCGCCCUCCGAGAACGCCGCCCUCCUGGCCGCUCCCACCCGUCCCGAGUAUGGUGUCCCUUCCGAGUAUGCCGCCCUCCAGGCCGCCUCUGCCGCGGCCCGUACCCGUACCCGUACCUCCCUCGCGUGCACCACCCGCACCGCGGCGGACUUCUUCUGCGAACUACUUGCACUGGACCACCUCCGGGAGCUCCUCGACGUAAUGGUUCAUCUCUAACCGUUCCGGCCACCACUCUUCACCUUCAGGACUCACUACUAUCCUCCUUCGUUUGAACGACUUCGUUUGAAAGGGUCGUUCUUGCCUAGGGAGUUCGACCUGCUUACCCACAACACGGCCUACAUGUUGUUCUUCUUGUUGACCCCCUUCCAGUUCCACCUCGUCCUGUACCGGCACCUCCGUACCGGACCUGCGAGCAGUUGGAGCCGGUGAAGCACUAAUGUAUGGUGAAGAAGGUGACCUUCUUCCCUUGAGGUAAGCGACUACUAGUCCCCUACAUAUUAUCUAACUGAACCACCCUCGUUUACCUGUUGCCGUUCGUCGAAUGAGCGUUGUCUUAAAAAAAACAACACCAAGGACAUCAGGACAUACACAAUAAGACAAAGUUAAAAUAAUUAUGACGAAAACCCUCGAAUGAACCGUUCCUUGUUGUACCGUCCUACAUACGUGUUUCUAACUAAGACCGAUCAGUUUAUGAUGUGAAUAAGUAAUUAAUACGUUUCUUGUGAACAAUCAUUGUAGAUCCAGAUUGAACGUAUAAGUGCGGUAAUAUGUACACAUUCCUAACCCGUAACGAGAUAACGAGAUAAGUGUGGUAAUAUGCACACAUUUUUAACAAGUUAAUUGAAGUAAUAGUAAUUAUUAACUAAUAAGUGAAAACCAAUCAUCAUUGAAAUUGAACCGCCGUUUGACCAAUUUAUGAACCGACACUAGUGCAAACACCAACCACACGCUCGUUCGUUUUAGUCUUUACUAGGCUUGACUAGUAUAAUAAAAACGCAAACGAUCUUAACAGGUACCUGUAAAUUAGACAAAACACAUAUCAUCCAUUUUAUCGUCUCAUGUGGUUAAUGGUAAAACAGACGACUAUUUGUGAAGGUUUCUGGAAAAUCGUGUCUCAAGUAUAUCAAUGUAUCACGAAAAAUCGAAUACAUAGUAUGUCAAUACGUCACGAGGGAUGUGACAGACAAAUGAUAUAUAUAGUAAGUACAUAAGAACCUAUCACGUCUGAUGUAUGGUACCGCUUAAUUGGUGUUAAAAGGUGUUAAACGUCGCCGGCACGAGGUGGUCGAUAAAAAACCAAGAACGUUAGUCCCCUGAAGGAACGUUCUGUCCCGGGCGGGAGAAAACGAAGAAGAUGAUGGAUGACAACGACGACAACGACUAACCAGAUACGUGUUAACUAUUAGGUAGUUACAAAUAAACGAUGAAGACAUCAUCGACUAUACGAACUACGCACAUAGAGAUAGAGGAAUGUCGAAACGAUCUUGGUAUUUAGGACUACGGACUACUAAUACCAGACCAAACGAUCUAGACAAGAUAACCACGAAUUUUAAACUGUACGGACCUAAGACUUGAAAAGUAAAGAUACUAGUUAAAUCAAUCUCAACGUGUACAGUCAUAUGAUAUAUGGUUUUUUUGGCAUCGAUCACUCUUGUAAAGUGAGGUACUUGUAUAUGACCAAUCACAAUCAGUAUGAUAAAUAGAUGUACCGUAAAGGACAGUUAAGAACGAAUAUUCAAUAACCUAAGGAGUAACCGAUAACAAACUACAAGACAUGUGUAAGAAUAAGAAUAUAAAAGUAAGAAUAGGAAACGUAUCCACUUCACGCUUAGUUUCAGGCUUCGACACUUCGUAUAGUUGUUCAUCAUCGUAUAAUACACAACAUUAACAUCCGUCAUCAUCCGUAUAGACCG
rnacentral:rRNA from 1 species